GACGAACGCUGGCGGCGUGCCUAAUACAUGCAAGUUGAGCGCUGAAGGUUGGUACUUGUACCAACUGGAUGAGCAGCGAACGGGUGAGUAACGCGUGGGGAAUCUGCCUUUGAGCGGGGGACAACAUUUGGAAACGAAUGCUAAUACCGCAUAAAAACUUUAAACACAAGUUUUAAGUUUGAAAGAUGCAAUUGCAUCACUCAAAGAUGAUCCCGCGUUGUAUUAGCUAGUUGGUGAGGUAAAGGCGCACCAAGGCGAUGAUACAUAGCCGACCUGAGAGGGUGAUCGGCCACAUUGGGACUGAGACACGGCCCAAACUCCUACGGGAGGCAGCAGUAGGGAAUCUUCGGCAAUGGACGAAAGUCUGACCGAGCAACGCCGCGUGAGUGAAGAAGGGUUUCGGAUCGUAAAACUCUGUUGGUAGAGAAGAACGUUGGUGAGAGUGGAAAGCUCAUCAAGUGACGGUAACUACCCAGAAAGGGACGGCUAACUACGUG
rnacentral:rRNA from 1 species